CACCGGCGGCCCGAGUGGUGGUCGUUAUUAUUGGGUCUAAAGGGUCCGUAGCCGGUUUGGUCAGUCCUCCGGGAAAUCUGAUAGCUCAACUAUUAGGCUUUCGGAGGAUACUGCCAGACUUGGAACCGGGGGAGGUAAGAGGUACUACAGGGGUAGGAGUGAAAUCUUGUAAUCCCUGUGGGACCACCUGUGGCGAAGGCGUCUUACCAGAACGGGUUCGACGGUGAGGGACGAAAGCUGGGGGCACGAACCGG
rnacentral:rRNA from 1 species